rnacentral:tRNA from 1 species
GUGGCUGUAGCUCAGUGGUAGAGCGCUUGUCUAGCAUGUGUGAGGCACUGGGUUCAACCCUCAGCACCACA